rnacentral:rRNA from 1 species
UACGGAGGGGGUAAGCGUUGUUCGGAAUUACUGGGCGUAAAGGGCGCGUAGGCGGCCAUGCGUGUCUUUCGUGAAAUCCCUCGGCUUAACUGAGGACGUGCGGAAGAAACUGCAAGGCUUGAGUCCGGGAGAGGGGGGUGGAAUUCCCAGUGUAGCGGUGAAAUGCGUAGAUAUUGGGAGGAACACCGGUGGCGAAGGCGGCCCCCUGGACCGGUACUGACGCUGAGGCGCGAAAGCGUGGGUAGCAAACGGG